GUGAAUUAGUUUAUUAAAUAUUGUAAAAGAUGUGGGUAACAUAAGAGGAUUUUCAGGUCUGGGAGUGGAAGAUUUUGAAAUGGAGGAAAGGACUGAGAAUAGGGAAGGGAAGUGCAAGGUUUUAGAAAAAAAGGAAAAUCUGCCUACUUCACAGCUUUCCCUACGGCCAGCCCUGAAACUAAGGUCAUGAGUGUAUGAGUGUGUUUUCUUCAACUUUGUCCAGUCAAGACAUUUUUUUCCAAGACUACAAUCUACAUCCCCAAACUUAGACAACCACACUGUAUCAGAAUAAGAGUUGAGGAAGGGGUGCAGAAACUUAAAUAAUAACUGGAAUUUCAGGGACACGUGCCUUUAACUGUGGGGAGUAGCAUCAAAAUCAUUAAAGCGUGCACAUAGUAGACAGCUCCUUGGGACCUGUGUCUGAUCAGAGCCCACAGUUCAGCAGGAGGAUCUUCCAGCCAAGAUCUAAAGUAAACAUGUUGUUCUUCAGCAUUUGCCUCGGUACAGAACCAUCAUCAACUCACAGCUUAGUCAUGAAGUUCAAGAAAUGAAACCCAGAGAAUUGUCCAUAUAAAUGAAGAUACUUAACUUGUGCAACAUGACAGAAAACAAAAUGUUUCUAAUGGAUGAAUCAUAACAUAAUAGGGACCAUCCCACAAAAAAGCUUCACACUCUUUUAACAUACAAUUUUAAACCAAUUUAAUAAUCACAAAAGAGUUCAGCUAAUGUUGGAUUUAGGAGAAGAAAUAAUUUACAAUCAGGUCGUUCACUGGAAUUUGACUCUACAUUUCAGUGAUCCUCAACCUUGACCAUGCAUCAGAAUCACCUGCGAGGCUUUGUAAAAACACCUGCUGAGUCAGAACCUGUGAAGGUGCAGCCUGCACUUCUUUGUCUGGAAAAAAAAAAAAAAAAAAAAAGCUCCACGAAUGAUUCAAAUGCACGAGCCAGGUUGAGAAUUCUGAUAUAAACAAUUCAUAAAUAGUCUUUCAGUCACCUUUCUCUGAGAGGAAUUAGUUAGGAUAUUGCUAUGCAAAUGUAAAAACAAAAGUGUGCCCCGAUAAGGAGAAUUUGGCCACUUCUAAGAAGAGUUACCUCAAUUUCAUUGCUCCACAAAACAGCUGUAAUUCCACAAUCUGUACACCUCCAGGCUACCCCACUUUCAGCAGCUGCGAUAAAUUCCAAGCAUAUUUCCAAUGCAAACCAACCCAACCUUUGAAUCUAAAUCCCUCCAAGUUUCUCCUGAAGUUUAACUGUAAAUGUUGACUUUGGUUCAACUUUCCCAUUGCCUGCAUUAGUCAGCUAGAAUGGUUUAAACAUUUAUAGAUAGAAAAGUUCAGAUAUGAUCCAUAUUUUAUUGUAAUCAAAUGUUAACUGGGUCGCUCUUGCGACCAAGCAUUUGUCUACUAUGGACAUUUGAAAAUAAUUAUUGUCAAUGAAUCUUGGCUUUUUGUUCUUUGCAAAGUGAUAGUUGAACUUAUUCAAUAAAUAUUUAUCACGACUCUACUAUUGCUGAACGCUGUGAUAUGCACUGAGGAUACAAUAAUACCCUUAAUUUGCUCAUGGUCUGAUAGGAAAGCAUUCACUUGACAAAUAUUAAUUGAAUAGAAGCAAAGAUGCAUAUGGUGUAAUAUCUGCAUUCUGGGACAUCACAGUGAAUGUGGAAAGGCAGAUUUAUAAACAACUUCCUCAUGAUAAAGUAUUAGAAGGUACUAUGUGCUCACAAAGGAAAAGCAACCUAUAUGGGGGAAGUCAGUACAGGCUUUUCCAAGCAAGUGGCAUCUAAAGUGGAAGAAUGAGUGGAAUUUUCCAGGUGGAGAAGAGGAGAAAAUGUAUGCCAAACAGAAACAGUACCUGCAAGUCUCGGAAAUAAGACAAUCAUGCCUGUCAUGGGAGAAUGAGGACUUCAUGGAACAUGUAGUACAAGACUCACCGGCUCGCUCUCCAUUGCCAUCCUUGCCAUCAUUCUUGGUAACUUCACCAGACCUGGAGAUAACUGUCCAGUUGCCUGGCUUCUAGGCUCUUUACUUCCAGUCAUCAUACAGAAAGGAGGAGUGACGGAGAAUUCGUACUCUGCCUGACUGUCUUCAAACUAGGACAUCAGUCUUCUUUUGCUUUCAGACUCAGACUGGAACUAUACCAUUGGCUCCCCUGGGUCUCCAGCUUACUGACUGCAGGUCUCAGGACCUCUUGGCCUCUGUAACUGUGAAAGCCAGUUUCUUACAAUAUACAUAUGCAUGUACGCAUGUGUGUGUUCAUGCAUGAGUGUAUGUGUGUGCUCACGUGUGAGUGUGUGUAUGUUCUAUGAGCUCUUUUUUUCUAUAGCACCCAGACUAAUGCAGUAAGCAUUAACAAAUAAAAUGGAUGAAUUAAUGAUGGCAUGUGUAGCUGGAAAAUGGCAGAGGAAUAAGAAUAUGAAGCUAAAGAGGUAUCAGUAAUAAAAACAACACUU